rnacentral:rRNA from 1 species
UACGUAGGGGCAAGCGUUGUCCGGAAUCAUUGGGCGUAAAGCGCGUGUAGGCGGUUCGGUAAGUCUGCUGUGAAAGUCCAGGGCUCAACCCUGGGAUGCCGGUGGAUACUGUCGGACUAGAGUACGGAAGAGGCGAGUGGAAUUCCCGGUGUAGCGGUGAAAUGCGCAGAUAUCGGGAGGAACACCAAUUGCGAAGGCAGCUCGCUGGGACGUCACUGACGCUGAGA